rnacentral:rRNA from 1 species
UGGCGGCAGGCUUAACACAUGCAAGUCGAACGCCCCGCAAGGGGAGUGGCAGACGGGUGAGUAACACGUGGGGAUCUGCCCAAUGGUACGGAAUAAUUUCGGGAAACUGGGACUAAUACCGUAUGAGCCCGCAAGGGGAAAGAUUUAUCGCCAUUGGAUGAACCCGCGUCGGAUUAGCUAGUUGGUGUGGUAAAGGCGCACCAAGGCGACGAUCCGUAGCUGGUCUGAGAGGAUGAUCAGCCACACUGGGACUGAGACACGGCCCAGACUCCUACGGGAGGCAGCAGUGGGGAAUAUUGGACAAUGGGCGCAAGCCUGAUCCAGCCAUGCCGCGUGAGUGAUGAAGGCCUUAGGGUUGUAAAGCUCUUUCGCCGACGAAGAUAAUGACGGUAGUCGGAGAAGAAGCCCCGGCUAACUU